AUUAAAAACCAAUGCCCUCCGGGGCUCACUGGUGAUUCAUAAUAACUUCUCGAAUCGCACGGCCUUGCGCCGGCGAUGGUUCAUUCAAAUUUCUGCCCUAUCAACUUUCGACGGCUGGGUCUUGGCCAGCCAUGGUCUCAACGGGUAACGGGGAAUUAGGGUUCUAUUCCGGAGAGGGAGCCUGAGAAACGGCUACCACAUCCAAGGAAGGCAGCAGGCGCGCAAAUUACCCAAUCCCGACACGGGGAGGUAGUGACAAUAAAUACUGAUACAGGGCUCUUUUGGGUCUUGUAAUUGGAAUGAGUACAAUUUAAAUCCCUUAACGAGGAACAAUUGGAGGGCAAGUCUGGUGCCAGCAGCCGCGGUAAUUCCAGCUCCAAUAGCGUAUAUUAAAGUUGUUGCAGUUAAAAAGCUCGUAGUUGAACCUUGGGCCUGGUUGGUCGGUCCGCCUCACCGCGUGCACUGAUCCGACCGGGCCUUUCCUUCUGGGGAGCCGCAUGCCCUUCACUGGGUGUGU
rnacentral:rRNA from 1 species